rnacentral:lncRNA from 1 species
UGAAGACGAGAUAGGGUUUGGGUUUGUGGAAGAGGAUGAUGGAAUUAGGUUUAGAAGAGAAAGUAUUUCUUUAGUUGAUUUUGUGAAGGUAACAAACAAUUUAAUUAUUAUGUUAAUAGAUAAAUAAGAAUUACAAAUAAUCAUUUCUACAAUAUCACCAUUUGAUGAUAUUUGAGGAGCAUCAUACACAAUGAGUCCUUGUUCAUUGAAUGUGAGUCUUCUGAAGUACAACUUGUUGAUGGAUGUGGUGGUUGGAAUUUAUAGAGUUGUGCACACUUUUUGCUUUAAGAGGUUGAAUAUACAAUUGUAUGGAAUGCAAAAGAGUUUUGGACUUUCACAUUGGAAUUGCACACCAUCUUCAAAUUUGGUGAUUUGACCAUUUGAAAAUAAGGCUGCCAGGUACAAAUUUGAAUAGUUGUCUUUGUCGUUCAUGGAAAAGUUGUCGAUGUUGUCCAUCUCAAAGAAGUUUAUGUGUUGAUGUGCAAAAAGUGAUUCUAGUGGCUGAGUUUAUU